rnacentral:tmRNA from 1 species
GGGGAUGUUUGUUUUGAUGUAGAAAUUGGUUCUUGCUCGCCAAGCGUCUUUGAUCGAAGAGGUAAAAAUCGAUCAAACUUUAACUGCCGAUAAAUUCGUCAGCAAAGCGAAAUCACUUUUACUCGACACCGUUGGUGCUGUAGCAAACGUAUUCGCUCCAGCCAAUUACGCCUACGUGGCUUAAUUGUUUUGGCACUACAAGCUAAAAUUUUAUCGUCGUUUUACUUGCGGUGAAAACUUAGCCGAUAGCAACGCUAUAAGAGAGCAACGCGCUUAUUUUGUCUGCUAAUUUUGCGUUGAGGACUAUUCAAAGUUGGUUAACUCGCUUAAAUAGUCAUCAUGAAAGUUAACUAUCUUGGUAGAAGGCGAAAGUUGAUUAUCUACAGACACGGGUUCAAUCCCGUCAUCUCCACGA